rnacentral:lncRNA from 1 species
UUUCGAUAUCUGUAAUAUGAGGACGUUGGACUAGAUCAACUUCCAGGCUGUGCAAGUUUGAGGAAGACCUGAAGAUUGCUGCAGUCUCCUGCAAUGAAGUGCCCAUGUUUGCUGGAGGGAGGCCUAGAAAUGGGUUACCAGGUUCAGCGAGGGAAAACACAGGGUACGCAAGUUAAAUGUGAAUGUCAGAUGUGCAGAAAUGUGGCACAGGAUAGACCACAUAGAUGCAUCCACAGUCAACUGGUUUCCUGAUGGACAUGUGCAGAAGGAGAAGUUAGACUGCUGUCCUGAAGAAGAUGGCAGAUGGAGACACUUGAAUCCCAGUGAGAGACUCAACCUUCAUCAGGCUCAAGGAAGAAUCCUGAUGAAAGCCGGGACAUGAUGGAAGAAUCCUAAGUUCAGUUCCCCAGGGACUCUUCUUCAUAGGCUGACCUACAUGCCUACUACAGUCUAGAAGGCGAAUCUGCU